rnacentral:rRNA from 1 species
CCUACGGGAGGCAGCAGUGAGGAAUAUUGGUCAAUGGGCGAGAGCCUGAACCAGCCAAGUAGCGUGAAGGAUGACUGAUCUAUGGUUUGUAAACUUCUUUUAUAAGGGAAUAAAGUGAGGCACGUGUGCCUUUUUGUAUGUACUAUAUGAAUAAGGAUCGGCUAACUACGUGCCAGCAGCCGCGGUAAUACGGAGGGUCCGAGCGUUAUCCGGAUUUAUUGGGUGUAAAGGGAGCGUAGACGGGAGGGCAAGUCUGUUGUGAAAGGUGGGGGCUCAACCCCCAAACUGCAAUGGAUACUGGCAGGCUUGAGUGCAGGAGAGGUAAGUGGAAUUCCUAGUGUAGCGGUGAAAUGCGUAGAUAUUAGGAAGAACACCAGUUGCGAAGGCAGCUUACUAAACUGUAACUGACAUUGAUGCUCGAAAGCGUGGGUAUCAAACAGGAUUAGAUACCCUUGUAGUC